rnacentral:rRNA from 1 species
UACGGGGGAGCAAGCGUUGUUCGGAUUUACUGGCGUAAAGGGCGCGUAGGCGGCCACUGCAAGUCAGUUGUGAAUCUCCGGCUUAACCCGGAAAGGUCAACUGAUACUGCAGGCUAGAGUGCAGAAGGGGCAACUGGAAUUCUCGGUGUAGCGGUGAAAUGCGUAGAUAUCGAGAGGAACACCUGCGGCGAAGGCGGGUUGCUGGGCUGACACUGACGCUGGAGGCGACGAAAGCGUGGGGAGCGAACAGG